UGCUGCUGGAGUUAAUAAUGCGGCUAUAAGCACACAGGAUCUUGUUGAGGAUAUAGUCAAUAUCAGCAAUAAAAUGAUAGAAAACAAGAGCAUUGCCCAGAAUCUUAAGAAUAGUACUAACAUAUUUGCAAAGUUCUGAUUUUGAAUAUUGGGGAGAAUUGUGGGAGUGCGUAGCACGGAACAAUUCGUAGGUAUCA
rnacentral:sRNA from 1 species